AGUUUUUUUGCCCCCGAUGUCACCUUGAUUGCCGAGCCCUAAUUAGAGCCGCAGGAUAAGCCCCGCGCUCCGUCUGUUUAGCGGCGUUUAAGCACCUUUGGCGGCGUUGCGUUUCGCAAAUGCCAUUUUUUUAGUGGUGGGGUUUUUUUAUUAUUAUUAAUGAAUUUUUUUUUAAAUUACUUUUAUUAAUUUGGAGGGGUUUUCCAUGCGAAAAACAACUUUGAUUUGGUGUUUUUGUUUCGUUGGCUGGUUUGGGUUUUUUUGUUUGGUUAUUUUUUUGUGGGUUGGUUGGUUUGUUGAUUUUUUUUAAUUAUUAUUUUUAAGAUUCUAAUUCUAGGCUGAAAGUACAAGGCCCGUGUUCCCAUCUCUUUUCCUGUGCUGGCAUUGCCAACGAGGCUGCUUUUGGCUCUACAGAGGAGGACACAGUAAACAACUAAGAAAGUCGGUUUUGGGAUUGAGUACCUCCAUCGGGAAGAGCAGUGAUGAGCAGAGCAUGACUUGAGAUGCAGAAGAGAACAGCCUGGAGCUGGAGAGCCAGGCUGGGAGGAAGGAAGCUGACAUCAACUAAGAUUAAAUUUGCUUGGGUUUGCCUGGAAAGCAACCCGGUAUUUAGUAAAGAAAGUCUUUGCUCCUGCUUCCUUUUCAACCAUCUCAGCACCUUAAAGAGGGCAACAUACUUUAAAAGGAUGUACUGUAUCUUUGCCGGUCUCCGCUAAAGUGAGCGGUGGAUAUAUGAGUGUUACAGGUUCGCCUGUGAGAGACUUCUGGACACUGGCAUUCUUUUAAAUGGGAUUGGUUUCUAAGUCAUGUAUGGCUCUCUCUCAGGAGCAUGGGUGCCAUAUGUGAUAAACACAGCUACAAAACGAGCAUCCCAGAUAUUCGUCCUUGAAGCUGAAUUUUCAGAGCUGAAGGAAUAGUUUGAAGCUGAAGUGUGGUCUUCCAGGCUGGUUUUGAGAAUUACAGAACCUAAACCAUGGCUUAUGCGUGUCACUUCUUGCCUUGAAAAAUAAAAACCCGCUUUUGAAAGUAUCUGAAUAUGCA
rnacentral:lncRNA from 1 species